AUAACAGCGUCCGCCACCCAUCUGUUCUCUGUACGAGCUGUUCUUCUCUAAGGUUCUGCAUGCAAGUGCGACCAUAAGGGACUUGACUUUAUCUGUCUGACUUACUUCACUCAGCACAACGCGCUCAAGGACCAUCCCUAGUGUUGCAGAUAGCAGGAGUUCCUUCUCUUUCAUGGCUGAAUGAUAUCCAUCGAUGAAGACUCAGAGAGUUUCCAUGUCUUGGUUACUGGUUUCAGUGGAUGUCACAGCGUCGCCGGAAGACUAAAGGGUGUGGCACUGCUGUGCCGAUGUUGCGUUUUUUGGAGUAGAGGACGGCACUGUGGUUAUGAAGGAGACUGUUCUUGUUCUAAGAGACACAAGCUGAAGAACCUGGGUGGGGGGCUCAGUGUCGGCACGCCCUCCGACACGCAGACAGCCCCAGCGGGAAGCGAGGGAUCCGGACUACGACUUGACAGAAGGCGCCAGAUUGGUUGCAGGUAUAACUCCUUGGAUUCACCACACACGAGCCAAGGCUGCAGCACCCCCC